CCUGGAAGCAAAAAAACUCCAGAGCAAUAAGCUCCUGAGUUUAUUCAAGUACACUAAACACAUAUGUAGAUGCGCCCAUGGAUUAUAAUAAUAUUCCAGAUCAUCCUUUAUCACAGGAAAAACAAAGUCAUAAAGGGGAGGAAUGCCAUGUGAGAAUCUCUGUGAUGGUUAUUCAGUAGGGCCUGGAUGAGAAAGCUCUGAAUACAUAUGAUCCCCCACAUGUUUGGAUCUCUGGAGAACAAAACUGGUUAUCAAUGCUGCUUUGGCUCUUGCUGUCAGGCCAAAAAGCCAGGUGGUAAAAAGCAACAUGGAAAUGUACAAAAGCACGUGGGAGAAUCAUAUACAUGUUUUCACUGAAGCUGUGGAUGACAUAACAAGUAUUGAUGAUUUUCUUGCUGUAUCAGGAAGAUGAGGCUCUCAAGAAACCCUUUUCUCCUUGACCUGAUACUUGAAUUCAAAACACCAAAUAUCCUGGGGCAUGUGAUAAACUAUGAAUAUUU